rnacentral:rRNA from 1 species
UACGGGGGGGAGCAAGCGUUGUUCGGAUUUACUGGGCGUAAAGGGCGCGUAGGCGGCGUAACAAGUCACUUGUGAAAUCUCCGGGCUUAACCCGGAGCGGCCAAGUGAUACUGUUGUGCUAGAGUGCGGAAGAGGCGAGUGGAACUCCGUGGUGUAGCGGUGGAAUGCGCAGAUAUCAGGAAGAACACCAAUAGCGAAGGCAGCUCGCUGGGACGGUAUUGACGCUAAGGCGCGAAAGCGUGGGGAGCGAACAGG